CGGCGGACGGGUGAGUAAUGCCUAGGAAUCUGCCUGGUAGUGGGGACAACGUUUCGAAAGGAACGCUAAUACCGCAUACGUCCUACGGGAGAAAGCAGGGGACCUUCGGGCCUUGCGCUAUCAGAUGAGCCUAGGUCGGAUUAGCUAGUUGGUGAGGUAAUGGCUCACCAAGGCGACGAUCCGUAACUGGUCUGAGAGGAUGAUCAGUCACACUGGAACUGAGACNCGGUCCAGACUCCUACGGGAGGCAGCAGC
rnacentral:rRNA from 1 species